UUCCCAUGGUUAACCUUCAUCCACACAAAACCAUCAUUUACUAGAGAAAGUGUGUGAAGAUAUCUUAUAUGCAAAGAUGAUAUUGCGACCAAUUAAAUAGUUCAGUCAAACAUAUCAAAUCAUUUAACGGUUUACAAUAUCAUCUUUGUACGGAGAUUUUUAUGCUUUUACUAUAUUUUCUUUAAAAAGUUAAAAGAGUGCAGCAGCAUGAUUUGUCUGUUAUUAUGACUUUAUGUGCGUACCUAAUAAUGUGCUUCUUUAAUUUAAAAAACUCUGUAUAAUAAGCUGAUAACAAUGAUCAAUCAUGAGAGACAAAGAUGGAAACGUCACUCACCAAAUAACUAAAAGGAACUAUUCCAUUAACUGAUAAUGUUUUAUUCUUAUUUAAGUGUUCCUCAAAAUAGAUUAGUUAGCAUAAAUGAAAAAUAAUAACCAAAAGAAACCCAAUCUGAUAACGUUUUGGAUCAGAAAUAUAUGUCUGUUUAUUUAUUGAGUCCUGCUAGGGAGCCAAGCUCUUGACUUUUCGGAUCUAGAGCUCUGAUACCAUAUCAUGAUACCACUCAUCUCAAAAACUUCAGCUGAUAGAAAAAGAUAACACUAAUGGUUAUAUCUCCAUUGGCUCCCUAUACUUUUUUAUGUUAUAUUUUAAGGAAUAAUAAGCGACCACAUGUAACGAUUCCACUGGUUUUUUUCUCCGCCCCUAAUAAUACCUU